rnacentral:rRNA from 1 species
ACUCCUACGGGAGGCAGCAGUGGGGAAUAUUGCACAAUGGGGGAAACCCUGAUGCAGCCAUGCCGCGUGUGUGAAGAAGGCCUUCGGGUUGUAAAGCACUUUCAGUAGGGAGGAAGGUAGUGUAGUUAACACCUGCAUUAUUUGACGUUACCUACAGAAGAAGCACCGGCUAACUCCGUGCCAGCAGCCGCGGUAAUACGGAGGGUGCGAGCGUUAAUCGGAAUUACUGGGCGUAAAGCGCAUGCAGGCGGCCUGUUAAGUCAGAUGUGAAAGCCCGGGGUCUUAACCUCGGAAUUGCAUUUGAAACUGGCAGGCUAGAGUCUUGUAGAGGGGUUAGAAUUUCAGGUGUAGCGGUGAAAUGCGUAGAGAUCUGAAGGAAUACCAGUGGCGAAGGCGGCCCCCUGGACAAAGACUGACGCUCAGAUGCGAAAGCGUGGGAGCAAACAGGAUUAGAUACCCCUGGUAGCGACUGA